rnacentral:rRNA from 1 species
CUAGAGUUUGAUCCUGGCUCAGAGCGAACACUGGCGGCAGGCCUAACACAUUCAAGUCGAACGGCCCUUCGGAGCAGUGGCGGACGGGUGAGUAACACGUGGGAACGUACCUUUUGGUUCGGAAUAACGCAGGGAAACUUGCGCUAAUACCGGAUGAGCCCUACGGGGGAAAGAUUUCUCGCCGAAAGAGCGGCCCGCGUUAGAUUAGCUAGUUGGUGGGGUAAAGGCCCNCCAAGGCGACGAUCUAUAGCUGGUUUUUUAGGAUGAUCAGCACACUGGGACUGAGACACGGCCCAUAUUCCUACCCCCGGCACCUCGGGGGAAGCGUGCGCAUUGGGCGGUAGCCUGAAGCAGACGUGCAGCGUGAUUGAUGACUGUCUUCUGAUCGGCGAUUGCUGGUGGUCGCUCCCUACACGGCACCGUGAGUGGGGCGGGGGGCUAUUACUUUCCGCAACUCGCUGGUGGAAAGGUCCCUAUUUUUUUCCCGGAUCCUAGGGGUCGCGUCUCGUCGUGGGCCGGCAGCAAAGCGAGUGCCCCACCGCCGGUGAUCGGUCUGUAUAUUCCACCCCUUCUUGCCCAAGUCGCAUGUACACCAUGCACGGAAUAAGCAUGAUGUCCACCCCCCGCGGAUAGGGACCGGCGGAGGGAGUAUUGUUGUUCCCCGCUUGGUUGAGUGGUUGCUGUUUGUUGUGUGGCCUCGUAGAGCGUUAGGGGGGGUGGGGGCGAAUGUCGCUGUGGACUAUUUGAUGUUUGGUGUGUGGUAGCGGCUCAGACAAAUGUAGGAGGGGACCGCGCACAGCCGUGUUGGCGGGUGUAGAGCGCGCCCGCG